rnacentral:rRNA from 1 species
UCGACGGAGCUCUUUUUCGGAGUUUUCGGAUGGAAGAGGAAGUAGCUUAGUGGCGAACGGGUGAGUAACACGUGAGGGACCUGCCUUAAAGAGGGGGACAACAGUUGGAAACGACUGCUAAUACCGCAUAAGCCCACGGUGCCGCAUGGCACAGGGGGAAAAGGAGAAAUCCGCUUUAAGAUGGACUCGCGUCCAAUUAGCUAGAUGGUGAGGUAAAGGCUCACCAUGGCGACGAUUGGUAGCCGGACUGAGAGGUUGAACGGCCACAUUGGGACUGAGACACGGCCCAGACUCCUACGGGAGGCAGCAGUGGGGAAUAUUGCACAAUGGGGGAAACCCUGAUGCAGCGACGCCGCGUGGAGGAAGAAGGUUUUCGGAUUGUAAACUCCUGUCUUCGGGGACGAUAAUGACGGUACCCGAGGAGGAAGCCACGGCUAACUACGUGCCAGCGGCCGCGGUAAAACGUAGGUGGCAAGCGUUGUCCGGAAUUACUGGGCGUAAAGGGAGCGCAGGCGGGUCGGUAAGUUGGGAGUGAAAACUAUGGGCUCAACCCAUAAAUUGCUUUCAAAACUGCUGAUCUUGAGUGGUGUAGAGGUAGGCGGAAUUCCCGGUGUAGCGGUGGAAUGCGUAGAUAUCGGGAGGAACACCAGUGGCGAAGGCGGCCUACUGGCACUAACUGACGCUGAGGCUCGAAAGCAUGGGUAGCAAACAGGAUUAGAUACCCUGGUAGUCCAUGCCGUANACGAUGAUUACUAGGUGUGNGGGGAUUAACCCCCUCCGUGCCGCAGUUAACACAAUAAGUAAUCCACCUGGGGAGUACGACCGCAAGGUUGAAACUCAAAGGAAUUGACGGGGGCCC